UACGGGGGGUGCGAGCGUUGUCCGGAAUCACUGGGCGUAAAGGGCGCGUAGGUGGUUUGAUAAGGGUGUGGUGAAAGUCCGGGGCUCAACCCCGGAUCUGCCGUGCCGACUGUCAAACUCGAGGACUGUAGAGGCAGACGGAAUUCCGGGUGUAGCGGUGGAAUGCGUAGAGAUCCGGAGGAAGACCAGUGGCGAAGGCGGGUCUCUGGACAGUUCCUGACGCUGAGGCACGAAGGCCAGGGGAGCAAACGGG
rnacentral:rRNA from 1 species